AUGCACAAAUACCCGCUCCCCCUCCAUUAUACAUCUAGUUCAGCCCCCUCUCUUCUGCCCCUCUGUGGACAUGUACAGGCACUACAGGUUGGACCAACCCACCAGGCAUCAGCCACAUCUCAGAUGAAACAGUUCAUCCUCGUGUCCUCGUGUCCUCAUCUCAUCAUGUCCUCAUCUCAUUGUGUCCUCAUGACCUCAUCUCAUCGUGUCCUCAUGUCAUCGUGUCCUCAUGUCCUCAUCUCAUCGUGUCCUCAUCUCCGUGUCCUCAUGUCAUCGUGUCCUCAUGUCCUCGUCUCAUCGUGUCCUCAUCUCCUCAUCGUGUCAUCGUGUCCUCAUGUCCUCAUCAUGUCAUCGUGUCCUCAUGUCCUUGUGUCCUCGUCUCAUUGUGUCCUCAUCUCCUCAUUGUGUCCUCAUCUCCUCAUCAUGUCAUUGUGUCCUCAUGUCCUUGUGUCCUCGUCUCAUCGUGUCCUCAUCUCCUCAUCGUGUCCUCAUGACCUCAUCUCAUCGUGUCCUCAUCUCAUCGUGUCCUCUUGUCCUCAUCUCAUCGUGUCCUCGUCUCAUCGUGUCCUCUUGUCCUCAUCUCAUUGUGUCCUCGUGUCCUCAUCUCAUUGUGUCCUCAUGUCCUCGUGUCCACAUCCCAUCGUGUCCUCAUGUCCUCAUCACCUCAUGUCCUCAUCUCAUUGUGUCCUCAUGUCCUCAUCACAUCGUGUCCUCAUGUCCUCGUGUCCUCAUCUCAUCGUGUCCUCAUGUCCUCAUCACAUCGUGUCCUCAUGUCCUCAUCUCAUCGUGUCCUCAUGUCCUCAUCUCAUCAUGUCCUCAUGUCCUCAUCACAUCGUGUCCUCGUGUCCUCAUCUCAUCAUGUCCUCAUCUCAUCGUGUCCUCAUGUCCUCAUGUCCUCGUGUCCUCAUUUGUGAAUUGUUUGUUUUGUUUGUUCAUACUUACCACUGUCUGUUCCCGCCAUUCAGAGAGGCCCCGCCCACAACUUCCUGGUUCAUAUGGUGUUGGUGA
rnacentral:lncRNA from 1 species